UUGAACUCACCGUGGUUUGUUUACAUUUAUAACUUUCUCCGGCUUUCUAGGACGUGAUUUAUGCCUCUUCUUUUUCUGUCUCAUUUUGUCCACCAAACUUAUAACGUUGUGCAUGAAUGCACAAAGACUGCCAAGCCUCUGGUGAUGCUCCCAUGCCAGCAAGACAUCUGAUUGGCUGACCAAUAUUUGCGCUCAGGCUGGAAGACGACACGCAGGAUCAAAAGCUCAACCUCUGUGACCUUUGACCCACCGCGGUCCCGGUCUGAUCUCGUGUGACAUCACGGAAGCCGCGUCCUCUUGCCGCAGCCGAGACGCACGU